UACGAAGGGUGCAAGCGUUACUCGGAAUUACUGGGCGUAAAGCGUGCGUAGGUGGUUCGUUAAGUCCGAUGUGAAAGCCCUGGGCUCAACCUGGGAAUGGCAUGGGAUACUGGCGGGCUAGAGUGCGGUAGAGGGUGGCGGAAUUCCCGGUGUAGCAGUGAAAUGCGUAGAUAUCGGGAGGAACAUCUGUGGCGAAGGCGGCCACCUGGACCAGCACUGGCACUGAGGCACGAAAGCGUGGGGAGCAAACAGG
rnacentral:rRNA from 1 species